rnacentral:ncRNA from 1 species
CGCCGCUGCCCGGGGUGCAGGCCUGACCUGCUGAGACGGUAAUCCGAACCCGCGAACUUGAUCCGGUUUGUACCGGCGUAAGAAGAGCCUGACUCAGCAGCCU